rnacentral:lncRNA from 1 species
AAUAAUGGCAUUAAAUGAUAUUGAAAUAAAAUAAAUGUAAAGAAGGGGAAUUAAAGUCACUAAGAAUCAUAUCACUAAAUAUUUCCUCUUUCUCCCUCAUGCUUAGUUGGUUCCUCUCUCUCAAAGGUUAUUAAAAGGAAAGAGAGAGAAAUCAAAUCAGACUCCAUCCAACCCUUCUCACCAGAGCAUAGCGGUGGCCAACGGCGGCGCCGCCUUCUAUGGCGGCUCUUCAACUCAAAACCCUAACACCUAAACACGACCCCCACCAAUUUUUGUUGUAGAUUUUGAAUUCGUCCUCUAAAAUAACAAAAAAACAACUAUUCUUCCGAAUCGAGAGAGAGAACUAAAACCCUAACCUAACAAAUUACCAAUUAACGACCUA